UUUUUACUCCCUCAGUUCGGAGUUACUUGUCGUGAAAAUGAAUGUAUCCAUACGCAUUUUAGUUCUAUAUACAUUCAUGUUUAUCCAUUUUGCAACAAGCAAUUCCGGACGGAGUGAGUAUAGU
rnacentral:pre_miRNA from 1 species